GCGGGCGGAGGCGGCUCCGCCGCGUGUUGGGCGUUGCGAGCAGGGAGCGCUGCGAUAUCGCCGGCAUGACGGGGCUGCUGCCUGCGUUAGUGCUCGUGGCUCUUUGUGCCGUGACAGCGGAUGGAGCGGCGCUGGGCGGUAAAGCCAGAGAUGGCCGGGAGAAUGCCCAGCGCAGGGAGCAGGCGGGCUGUAUGGUUCGGAUGGCACAGCACCCGUGACUUUUUUUUCCCUCUAAAUCGGGAGUAAAUAUAGCUGAGUUCAGUAAUGUAUUUGCUGCAGCUUUGCUUACCCAAGCUUUGGGUUCCUUCUGUCCCACUGGGAGUUGCCCAAUUUGGUUGCAUCUGGUGAAAUUCACCCUGAGACCUUACAGAACCAGCUCCAACUACGUGAGAGCCAUUUGCAGUUCUCUCCAGACACCUGGAGAAUGGGCGACGUUUCUGAGGAUCCGGCGAGCGUGCUUCUAUCAAAACUCAGUCUGUGAAAUUCCUGGGGAAAACCCUUCUGUGUCCUGAAGGGUUCAAACUCUGGUGAGGAUCCAGUUAUCAGGUGCUCACCUGGAUGGUUCCAGCUCCCAAAGGGAAAGACUCUCGUAUCCUUGUCGUCGGGCUCGGUGCUGUCCAAGAAGAUACAGAGACUAAAAAAAUCAUAAGAAGCAAAAUAUGAGUGCAGGGAAAAGAAGCUGGAGAGAACAGAAUGGCCCUGUCGUGCUAAUCAUCAUACAGAUGCAAAACAAAAAAUCAGACCCUGUCCCAAGCACUUAGAGCCCAGAACACGAUUUCCUCGGGCUGCCAUUUGUGUGCCAUCGGUACUCACCACGGAAGGGAGCUGGGGAUUGUUGCAGCUGUUGGGAACAAACCGCUUCUUGUCACACAGAAAUGGAAUUGGGACGACGCCUCGGCCAGCCCCUCUCUGCCAUCGUCUCCUGAAUCUGCAGCAGAGCAGUUCCAGUCCAUCCGGGCACGUGUAAUGCAGUUCCUGAUGAUCUGAGCACACAGAGCAGCGCUCAGCUGCUGUGGGGGCUCAGGGAAGGCAGAGUGUGCAUUGUCAUCUUCCUGAACGUACAGACGAAUCAAAGUGAGAAGCCACAGCGUGGAAAUCAGUCGCAUAUAUGCUAAAUAAAACUUGCAGGUUUUUUUUAAGAAUUGUUUUUGCUUGUUCUUUGUUGUGCUUCUGUGCUUAGAAAACCUCCCUUUAAAAUCAGUUCAGUUCAUCAGUUGAACCUUUGUUUGCAGACCCUCACUGAGCAGAAUUCAUUGCUGACUCAGUGCACGCUGUGCUGGCCUCCCGGGAAUGUGAGGAGCUCAUGUGUGCUACUUUUUGCUUUAGGACGCUCUGAG